GACGAACGCUGGCGGCGUGCUUAACACAUGCAAGUCGAACGGAAAGGCCCUGCUUGCAGGGUACUCGAGUGGCGAACGGGUGAGUAACACGUGGGUGAUCUGCCCUGCACUUCGGGAUAAGCCUGGGAAACUGGGUCUAAUACCGGAUAGGAGCCAUUUUUCGUGUGAUGGUUGGAAAGUUUUUUCGGUGUAGGGGGAGCUCGCGGCCUAUCAGCUUGUUGGUGGGGUAAUGGCCUACCAAGGCGGCGACGGGUAGGCGGCCUGAGAGGGUGGACGGCCACAUUGGGACUGAGAUUCGGCCCAGACUCCUACGGGAGGCAGCAGUUGGGAAUAAUGCACAAUGGGCGCGAGCCUGAUUCAGCGACGGCGAGUGGGGGAUGACGGCCUUCGGGUUGUAAACUCCUUUCGCUAGGGACGAAGCUGUUAGUGACGGUACCUGGAUAAGAAGCACCGGCUAACUACGUG
rnacentral:rRNA from 1 species